rnacentral:lncRNA from 1 species
CUUCCCAGCCCUGCUCCUCGCCUUGCGGAGGGUUCACCUGCUGCGUGUCCUUGCGCAGGCCGGCCACUGGCCUCUGAGCCCGGGCUCUCGCCUGCAAAGUGGGGCCUCUGUGGGUGGUCGUGGAGGUGCAGUGGUGACCUGGAUGGAGGGCGGCAUCGGGCCCCGCAGUGCCCCCUUGGGCAGCUGCACCCAGCAGCUAAGAGGCCCCCUCGAGACACAUCAGUCCUAGGGAGGAGCAUACCAUGCAGUACGAUUUAGCCUUAAAAUGGGUGGAGUGCAGUUUAUGUUGUGUAUAUCUAUAUAUCUCUAAUUUAAAAUUUUUACUUUUAUUUUUCAGACAGGGUCUUGUUCUGUUGCCCAGGCUGGAGUGCAAUGGUGGCAUUACAGCUCACUGCAGUCUCCACCUCCCGGACUCAGGCGUUCCUCCUACCUCAGCCUCCCAAAUAGCUGAGACCACAGGCAGGCAUCACCACACCCAGCUAAUUUUUUUUUUCUUUUUUGAGACGCAGUCUUGCUUUGUUGCCCAGGCUGGAGUGCAGUGGUACGAUCUCGGCUGACUGCAGCCUCUGCCUCACGGGUUCAAGCGAUUCUCCUGCCUCAGCCUCCUGAGGAGCUAGGAUUACAGGCGUGCACUAACACGCCCAGCUAAUUUUUUUGUAUUUUUAGUAGAGACGGGGUUUCACCAUGUUGGCCAGGCUAAUCUCGAACUUCUGACCUCAGGUGAUCUGCCUGCCUCGGCCUCCCAAAGUGCUGGGAUUAUAGGCGUAAGCCACCGUGCCUGGCUAUGUUUUUUUCUAUUUUUGGCAGAGAUUAGGUCUUGCUAUGUUGCCCAGGCUGGUCUUGAACACCUGGGCUUAAGCGAUCUUCUCACCUUAGCCUCCCAAAGUUUUGGGAUUACAGAUGUGAGCCACCUUGCCUGACCUAUAUUUUUAAUUUAAAAAUUUUUAAUUGUUAAUUUUUAUGGGUACAUAGUAGGUGUAUAGAUUUAUGGGACACAUGAGAUCUUUGUAUUAUAAUUACAUUAGGGUAAAUGGGGUUUCCAUCACCCCCAGCAUUCAUCAUUUCUGUGUGAUGAACAUUCCAAUUGCACUCUCUUGGUUAUUCUAAAAUGUACAGCAAAUUAGUGCUGACUGUGGUCACCCUGCUGUGCUAGAAAAUUCUAGAUCUUACUUAUGUAUCUAACUAUAUUUUUGUACCCAGCAACCAUCCCCUUUUCCUAGUCCCCCCCACUACCCUAAUGUUUUGUAUAUUUUAUCACAACUUUAUUUUAUUAUUAUUAUUUUUUGAGACAGAGUUUCGCUGUGUUGCCCAGGCUGAAGUGCAGUGGCCUGAUCUCAGCUCACUGCAACCUCUGCCCCCUGGGUUCAAGCGAUUCCCAUGUCUCAGCGUCCCAAGGAGCUGGAUUACAGGCCACGCGAGGCUAAUUUUGGUAUUUUUAGUAGAGACAGGGUUUCACCAUCUUGGCCAGGCUGGUCUUGAACUCCUGACUUCAGGUGAUCCACCUGCUUUGGCCUCCCAAAGUGCUGGGAUUACAGGCAUGAUCACAAUUUUAAAAAGGAAGGAGAUUCUGACACACACUUCAACAUGGAUGAACCUUGAGGACAUGGUGCUGAGUGAAAUAAGCCAGACACAGAAGGACAGACCACGCAUGAUUCUGCUUAUAUGGGGUUCCUAGAGCCAUCAGAUUCAUAGGUACAGAAAGUAGAAUGGUGCUUACCAGAGGCUGCGGGCUGAGGGAGAGGGGUGUGAGUGUUUGAUAGGGACAGAGUUUGAGUUUGGGAAGAUGAAAGAGUUCUGGAGAUGGGUGGUGGUGAUCACACAACAGUGUGGAUGUGCUUAAUGCCCCUGAACUGCACGCUUGAAAAUGGUUAAGCUUGGCCGGGUGCGGUGGCUCACGCCUGUAAUCCCAGCACUUUGGGAGGCCAAGGAGGGUGGAU